rnacentral:rRNA from 1 species
AGAGUUUGAUCAUGGCUCAGAACGAACGCUGGCGGCAGGCCUAACACAUGCAAGUCGAGCGGGGACUUCGGUCCUAGCGGCGGACGGGUGAGUAACGCGUGGGAACGUGCCCCUUGCUUCGGAAUAGCCCCUGGAAACGGGGAGUAAUACCGGAUGUGCCCUACGGGGGAAAGAAUUUCGGCAAAGGAUCGGCCCGCGUUGGAUUAGGUAGUUGGUGGGGUAAUGGCCUACCAAGCCUACGAUCUCUAGCUGGUCUGAGAGGAUGAUCAGCCACACUGGAACUGAGACACGGUCCAGACUCCUACGGGAGGCAGCAGUGGGGAAUAUUGGGCAAUGGAGGAAACUCUGACCCAGCCAUGCCGCGUGAAUGAUGAAGGCCUUAGGGUUGUAAAGUUCUUUCGCCGAUGAAGAUAAUGACGGUAGUCGGAGAAGAAGCCCCGGCUAACUUCGUGCCAGCAGCCGCGGUAAUACGAAGGGGGCUAGCGUUGUUCGGAAUUACUGGGCGUAAAGCGAGCGUAGGUUGCUCGAUAAGUCAGUGGUGAAAGCCCAGAGCUCAACUCUGGAACUGCCAUUGAAACUGUCGAGCUGGAAUCUCAGAGGGGGUAGCGGAAUUCCAAAUGUAGGGGUGAAAUCCGUAGACAUUUGGAGGAACACCGGUGGCGAAGGCGGCUACCUGGAUGAGUAUUGACACUGAGGCUCGAAAGCGUGGGGAUCAAACAGGAUUAGAUACCCCGGUAGUCC